ensembl:lncRNA
UUUCUAGUAUAGCUCAAUGACUUAAUAAGCCUUUCUGUGGCUCUGAAUACCUCAACAGCUUUCUUUCAAGUCUUUCCAUUACUAUGGGUGAGAGUGGAAAACAGUUGCCACACGCUGUUCCCCCAGUGUUUCUUCAUCAAAAAUCAAUGGCUAUCUUAUUUCCUUAUAUCAUGGGGUGAGGACAUAAUUUAGUCACCACAGGGACUUGUAUUCAAGUACUAUCCCAGAAAGUGAUACUCUUUAGUAUUUAGAUAAAUUAAAACUUGCCUGCAUCUCACUGAUUAGCCCUAUUGUCUUGAGAAUGAAGAAGAGAUGAGUCUUUCAUACCAAACUUUUACAGUGCUGCCAUCAUAAAGUGAAACUUGGGUUAGCUACAGGUUUCUUGGUUCUAUCUUCCUUAAACAUAACAGUCGGUAUCCACAGAGGUGAAAGAAUCCCCACCAAAAUGCCUACACAGAAGAUUUUCAGUCUAGGCUGGUCCAAUAAAUAGAGCUAUCAACGCUGGGGACACCAGCAGAUACAAUAUAUUCACCUAAUUGCAUCCACAUAUGUUUCACAGAAGGUCUUUUUUGCUCUGGACUAUUACUUUCAUUUUUGACCAAUUCAACAUUCCAAACUUAACAGAUUUAUCUGUACUGUCUGUCAGAAGGCCAAAGUGAUCUGGAGGGGAGAGAACCAGGGACUAAUGAUAAAGCUUCAUCAUGGUCUACUGUCUUCUGUAGAGUUCUCUAUUUCCUGAGACCAAGUGUCAUAAAAUUGUAGCUAUGGUGUCUGUGACUAUGAUUACAUACUCCCAGGCACAAAUAAUAAGCAAAGCAGAUAUUAAUAUAUCACUGUCCUAACUGGCUGUUGCAAGGACAAUAUUUUCAAAAUCAAAUGACACGGUCUGGACUGUGCUGCUGUGAUUGUGGUGGUGAUAACUGCCAAUACUGACGGGCUAAGGAGGAGGUGUAAAUGGACUCCACCAAUUUGCUUUGCAGCAGGAAAACAGCCUGCUGGUACGUGAAUCCAGAUUAAAAAUAUGGAGCACUUCUUGAAUGUGUGUAUCAAUUUUGCACAGGGAGGGGCAAUGCUCGUCUUGUCGUCCUUCUAAUUUUAGUAGUAUGUGCUGUGAAAAUAGGCACUAGCCAAUAAUCUUCUACCAAAAAUACUAGAAGGACCUUGCUUUUAGUUUCAUUCCUGCCAAGACACAGGCCCUAAUGGCUUCCAUUACAUAAUUAUGUAUCAGUUAACACAGUGUCAUAAAAUAUAUUUUAGUUCACAAAGUAUUUAAUACACAACAAGGAUUAGACACUGGAAAAAGUCUGGCUCUAGAUGUACUGAGUAUCCUUGUUUGCCAUAUAAAUACUUAGGUCCCUGACAUUUUUGUCUAGUUAUUUAUCUAUCCUUGCUAUUAUCUUUUUGUCCACAUCACAACCUCAGCCUAUGUCCUUGAACUGAUUUCCUUUCUUAGGAGCUACUAUUGUAAUCUCUUAUUCUUUCGUCUAAUACCAUAUUUAUAUAUUACUGGUAUUCUCACCAAUAGAAAUAAAGCACAGAAUGUAUAGUGCACUGAAAUUUUAUUGCACUUAAGGUGAUCACUUAAUGUCUAUUCUUAACUUGCUCAUUUCAAAUGCCAAAUUUAUUGGUCAAAACAACUUUUUCCUGGCUCUACAUAAAUUAAUCAGAUAAACCCAUAAACAGCUUCUUGCAAAAAUAAUACAUUUUCUUCCAACUAUACUCUAAUGAAUUUAAGAUAUUGUAUUUUUUUAAGUGAAUACACCCCAAGUCCAUCUGGGAUGUUACGACAUUGGAUGAUAUACAGUAGAUGAUAUACAUGAUAUACAGUAGAAAUUUGAUUUAAAUAACAAUGCUUUUUCAAUGAUAAAGACCAAACAAUAACUUUAUAUUCUGAUGUAAUUGCUUGCCAUAUGCCCCAUUUUCUGGCAAUAACAAAAUAUUCUAGUAUUACGUUAGUAAUAAUGAAAAUGUCCACUGCAAGCAAUUAUUGACCAACUUUAAUAGUGAUUUAUCAUCCUUCAGUAUUUGAUCUCUGGCAAAAGGGCUAUUUCACAACAGGAAAGCUUGAAGUAAUGCAAAAUAACUUUGGCAAGCAAAGAAACUCAGAUCUCCCAGAAGUGCAGUGAGAGCUUAAUUUCAGCACAAGCGUCCCCUAGCUAAAAUGUGAAGAGAAGUUCUAUGAAUGAAAGCAACAACAAUGUGAAGUCAUGUAAGCACAGAUUUUUUAAAAAUCCAUCUUUUAGAUAACACAAUACAGCCAAGAUACUUCAGAAUCCAUUCAACAGUGGAAAAGAAAUAUUAGUAAGUGGUCUUUAUUUUCCCUUUCAAACAUUUACUGUUUGUUUAUACUUAUGUACAGUUCAAUGUACCAAGUAUCUUGGAAAUUAUAAUUACUAUACCUUAAAAAGCAAGCAAGGAGAACAACAAACUGAAAUGGGUAUAACUGUGUAAAAGCAGCAACAUACAUGAUCAGUGAGUAGAAUAUUAUCUUUUUUUUUUUUUUUUUGAGACAGGGUCUCUCUCAGGAGUACAGUGUUAUGAUCAUGGCUCACUACAGCCUCAACCCCCUCCCCACCCCAGCCCCAGACUCAAGCAAUUCUCCUGCCUCAGCUUCACGAGUAGGUGGGAGCUAGGACUACCUGUGUGUGCUAUCAUGCCCAACUAAUUUUUUUUUUUUUUUAAAUGCAGAGAUGGGGUCUCGCCAUGUUGCCCGGGCUGAUCUUGAACUCCUGGGCUCUAAUGAUCCUUCUGCCUCUGACUUUCAAAGUGCUGGGAUUAGAGGCGUGAGCCACAGCACCCAGCCAAUACUGCCACUCUUAUUCACUGAUGCUCUGUAUGACAUUAGUUAACCAUCCAAGGCAUACAGUUAAACAAUAAAUUACUUACAAUGAUUUA